rnacentral:lncRNA from 1 species
AAUAACUAGAUUAAGAGCACUAAAAUCCAUAAAUCUAGUAAUAAACAUCCAUAAAUAUGCUAGGUAUUUGGGGUAAAAAUAUGUAUAAUUUGGCAUUUAUCGGUAAUACCUAAGGAAGAAAAUCCUUAAGUUAUGUUAUUAUCCCUAUUCAAGACUAAUAACGUCUAAUCCCUAGAUUGAAUAACCGAGACUUUUCUCUAAUUAACACUCUAGGGUUGCAUUAACUCGAUCUAUGGAUCCCCUUAUUAGGUCUCAUCCUAAUCCGGC